rnacentral:rRNA from 1 species
GCCAGACUCCUACGGGAGGCAGCAGUGGGGAAUAUUGCACAAUGGGGGGAACCCUGAUCCAGCGACGCCGCGUGAGUGAAGAAGUAUUUCGGUAUGUAAAGCUCUAUCAGCAGGGAAGAAAGAAAUGACGGUACCUGACUAAGAAGCCCCGGCUAACUACGUGCCAGCAGCCGCGGUAAUACGUAGGGGGCAAGCGUUAUCCGGAUUUACUGGGUGUAAAGGGAGCGUAGACGGCGAUGCAAGUCUGAAGUAAAAGGCGGGGGCCUAACCCCCGGACUGCUUUGGAAACUGUAUGGCUGGAGUGCAGGAGAGGUAAGUGGAAUUCCUAGUGUAGCGGUGAAAUGCGUAGAUAUAAGGAAGAACACCAGUGGCGAAGGCGGAUUACUGGACGAUAACUGACGGUGAGGCGCGAAAGCGUGGGGAGCAAACAGGAUUAGAUACCCUAGUAGA